CAUCUUUCUUUCCGUGAAACAGCGACAAAAUUUCUUUCUUCAUCUUCAGAAGAACAACCGAUAUCGCCAUGACAAACAUUAUUCAUCUUCUUCGUUCUUCUCGAUUAACCUAGCGCCCCACUGAAACAAAAGCAAAGCAAAACGAAGAUUUGGGUUUUUCCCCUCUCGCCAAUAAUCAUCCAUGACAAACGUGGUAGCACAUGAACAAGAAAAAACGACUACACUUCGAAGAAACUUCUCAAAACACCAGAGACCACAGUGAAGCCCAAUCUGCAUUCGCCGAGGCAUGGACAUGUUAUUUUUGUUUUACAAGCUAAUCUUUACAAUUUCAUCACAACAUGUUGGAUCGAGGAAGAGAUCGUGUAUUGAUGCUUUAGUGGAAUCCAACCAGCCGUGUAGCUCCAGCCCCUGCAAAAGUCCUAGACAAAUCGGCCAUGCUCAACGUCGUGAACUGAUCCAACCAGAAAAUGAAAAAGCAGCAAAGGAAAAACAGAACUUCUAUUUGGGCCUCCGCAGAAGCCCAAGUCUCAUUCAACAGGCUAAACAUCAAGAGUUAGAAAGUUCUGAAGAGGAAAAGGAGCAUAGUGUUGGCCGAAGUUCUUGAGUGAAAAAUUAUUAAAUGAGAAUUUUGAUUUUAGUUGGAAAUUAUUUGUGUAUAAAUAAAUAUUUAUGGUUAGAAAAAUUAUGUAAUUAAAAAUUCGAUUGUAGUUGAAACGAAAAAGCAAAAUUCGAUUGUAGUUGAAAUGAAAAGGCAGGCGCAUCGCGCGUGCGUGUUAUAGUAGUACUUAAUGAA